GGGGAGGGUCCUGGCGGCAGUGGCAGCUUCUGGUGUCGGGCUCUAUCCCACAGAAUUAGGAGACCCGCGUGGGGGCGUCCCAGCGCGCGGUUAGCUGGGGGAGCAGAGCCUAAGCUGCUGAGGGAGGAGAUUUGCACAGAGGCCUACACAGUGGCUGUUGCCGGAGAGGGAGGCCGGAUUGCUAGAACAGGUCGUUGGGAGCAGAGAACGCAGGAGCAUCAAAUUCUCGAGCAAAUUGUUGUCCAGGUGCGAACCGAGAUUUGGCCUUUUCCACCCAGAGAAAAAGGAAAGGCUCAUGGGCACACAGUGCUGGGAUCGUGGGCACACAGGAGAAAAUGCUGACAUCGUGUUGAUGAGGAUUCCAAUCUGCAUGAUAAAUACAGUUCUCACUGUAAAUGUCUGUAAACUCGAGUACUGCGGGUCCAUCCCGGAAAGGCAGAGCCUCUCUCCCCAGGAGCAUCUGAACCUGCGGAAGCCAAGGGUCAGGCCCCAAGGAGAAGCCACCUGGAAAUUCCACCCCGUGAGAUGUUACAUUCCCCUCAAACCUUUCUGAACCCUGUUCCACAUGCCGAUCUGCGCCUGGCCUUUCCCUUGGCUGUCCUCGAGGUGCUUCUCCCGCACCCGCUCCUGCUCCCUGGGGCUAAGCUGCCCUGCCUCAGGGCGCCUGGCGGUGCUGGACAGGAGACCAGCGGCCCAGAGCGUGUUCUCUCCAUCAGGACGGGGGUUGCUCAAGUGCUGGUCUUCACCGUCUCUCAGGAAGGGCCCAAACCCGGAUCUGAGGCCCCACAGAGCACGUCCGUCUUUCUGGUUAUUGUUGUGCCUUAUCUUCAGGAACCCUACCUGUGCCACAUCCAACCCCCAACAGAAUACCCUUUUGUUUCUUCUUUUAACACGAAAAAGUAGUUUUCAUACCAAUAGAGACUUGAAGUAAGAGGGCUGUUGUUUACCUCCACACUGACCCCUCAACGCCCUGGCCCCACUUGCACCCAGCUCCAACAGCCCCUUCUAGUGCUUAGUCUUGGUUUGCUUCCUAAAAAGCGAGUACCAGUUUACACUGCAAUACCUGCCCAUCGCCGUGCCUCUCUCUCAGCCUGCCCUCUCCAAGUCUAGGUGUUUCAACAAAAAGGGAAAAUCUUAGCUACAUUGAAAAAUGGUGUCUAGGUUUAAUUUGCAGUUUUUGUUAUGAUUCUUUGAACUCUUUUUGUGUAUGCUUAUUAACCUGUUUUAUUUUCGUUUUUUAAAUUCUCAAUGUUCUAUUCACUUACCGUGUUUUUUAAAGUAAAUUAUACAAAUUCUCUGAAAAUAAUUUUAUAAUGUGCUCAUUCUAAAAGACAGACAAAAAACUUUAUUUGCUGUGAAUAUUUUUCCAAUUUGUCUGCCAUCUAAUUUUGGCUUUAUCAUUAAACAUAUAAAACCUCAUUUUUCAUUUUUCUGUAGACAAACUUUGUCCUUUUUGAUUUCUUCCUUUGCUUGUAAGCUUUAAAAUGUUUUUUCUUUAUUCUGUAUUCCAGUAUUUUAAGUUUGCUUUUUGACAUAUUACUUUAAAAAGCUAAUAUUCAGUUUUAUUUUAGAUUUUCACAAAAUAUUUCAUAAAAGUAUUGUGUAAUGUUUUCAAUAAAAUCAGUUUGAAUUAGAUAAAGGUCUAUGUUUUAUUUUAAAGAUGUUUAGUGUAUGUAUCAUGUAUUAUUCCUUUUUAAAAUACUUUAUCAGAAUAUCGAAGCUUGCUCCAUAAAACUGAUUCAAAUGUAUGUAUAAUUCUCAUAAUUUUAAUGUUGUUAGCACUUGCAUACAUUGCUGCAUGAAACAGUGUCUGUCUGUGGCUCCCGCUCUGGUUUAAAGCAGCACACUGCUUCCGCUAACAGCUCCUCGGCGUGUAGCCACGAUGCUGAAUUUGCCUCUUCCAGUCCC
ensembl:lncRNA